rfam:Schistosoma margrebowiei strain Zambia genome assembly, scaffold: SMRZ_contig0001606
AUCCAGCUGACGAGUUCCAAAUAGAACGAAACGCGCUACCUGGAU